rnacentral:rRNA from 1 species
UACGGAGGGUGCGAGCGUUGUCCGGAAUCACUGGGCGUAAAGGGCGCGUAGGCGGCUUCUCAAGCGUGUGGUGAAAGUCCGGGGCUCAACCCCGGAUCGGCCGUGCGGACUGGGGAGCUCGAGUUCUGUAGAGGCGGGUGGAAUUCCGGGUGUAGCGGUGGAAUGCGUAGAGAUCCGGAAGAACACCGGUGGCGAAGGCGGGUCUCUGGGCCGUUACUGACGCUGAGGAGCGAAAGCGUGGGGAGCGAACAGG